GCGCCCGUAGCUCAGUUGGAUAGAGUACCUGGCUACGAACCAGGGGGUCGGAGGUUCGAAUCCUUCCGGGCGCG
rnacentral:tRNA from 2 species